CCCGGAAGCUACUAUGAAGCCUAGGCUGACUCUGAACUGGAAAGCGGUCCUGUCUACUUAUCGUGGCUAAAGUGUGCUUGUCUCAGCUGGGAAGCAUCCCCAGGAGGUCCGAAGUGUAUGUAUGUAAGACAGUCUCAUCUCAUGGAAGCCUCUGCUCAAGAACAAAGGUAUCUAUCUCAGCUUCUCCAGCCAAACCAAAGCAGGAGAAGCCCAGAGAGGGAGCCAGCCUGGUCUUGGAAGGAAGUAGGCCAGCAGGAGGGAGGAGGCAGAGCCAGGAAUGGCAUGUGUCUGUAGAGCAGCCCGUGAUUUCCUUUGGCUUUGCCUGAGCCCCUCUCCCACCAGGAAUACCCAUGUACAUGGAACUCUGGCCGGAUGGUCCAGGACAGAGCGAGCAUCCUGGCCUCAUGCUUGGCUGUGGCUUCCUUAACAGUGUCCAGAGGGCACAUUUAGCACAUCAUGAAGAAUGAAUACAGACAGGACCCUGAUUUCAGCAGGCUACCUGAUGCCAUUGUAAGGUGGCACCCAGGAACCAGUCUCAGGGCUCUGUACGGUUUGGGCUGAUUCUUGAUUCUGACCAAGCUCUAGGGCUGCUACAGUAGCUUACAGCCUCCUAUUAUCCAUGGGGGAAUAAGACUCCUCACUCUAACAGUAGCAGCACGGCCGGGCUUAAAGCUUUCCCCAUGUUCAUGCCCAGAAACCCCAGUUCCCAGGUACCCCACAAGAUGGACUACACAACACAGCUUUACUCAGACAGGAUCAGACAUUUAUAAAACAAGUACAUGUUCACAGACAAACUGGGCGAAACACAACCUUCCCAGGAAUAGGGAACUCCAUAAAGUGCUUCUUGCCUGCGACCAUCUCUUCCCCAUGCUACGUCCCAGGAGCAGGACAUGGGGCACUGUUCUGUGACAGCCCUCACGGGCACUCAGGCUAGGCAGAAGGAGGCAUGAAGCCAUCCCAGGCCCCCAGGCCACUCCAUCACAUAGCUCUGGGGGUAGACCAUUUCAUUCAUUGGAAGGCUGUCCUGGGAAUGAGCCAGCAUGUCAAGGAGAUGGAAGGGCAGGUGAUCUUGCCAACUUGUACCUUGGGAAGAGAGCCAUCAUCAAAAAAGCAGAGAAGGGCAUUGCCCCCAUAGCUGAAGGUGUUGCAGAAUAAAUACUGGAUCCAGACCUAGCCUUUGAUCCUCUUCAGACCAGUUCUCCAGGCUUGCCUUGCUUUUCCUCUAGCAAGAUCCCUUGGCUCUUUCCUCUUGGCCUGGGGCUAGGGAGCAGGGAGGCCACAGCCCAGAGCCCUGAACACACAUCACCAGUGCCCCAUUCUUCCACAUGAUCACAGGAUGCUUCUAACCAGAACGAUGGACAUAAACAGUUGGACUAAAGGCAGCUCUCUGCUGAGAAAACCUGAGGCCAUCUCAAAAAGAAGCCUGUCAGAUGUGCUGGACAGCUGGAGGAGAGGGGACCUGACCCCAGGGUUCUUGGGUUCUUGUCUGACACAGUGAAGGUCAGGGCCAAGGGCAUUAACAACUCUGAGGCUAGGAAAGGUCACAGGGGAGGUAGAGAGGAAAAGGCCCAGAGGCCAGCUUAAUGUUACAUGUGAGAACAAAAACCCCAACAGGAACGAACACACACACACACACACACACA